rnacentral:rRNA from 1 species
UACGUAGGGGGCAAGCGUUGUCCGGAUUUACUGGGCGUAAAGGGCGUGUAGGCGGCCAUUUAGGUCCGUUGUGAAAACUGGAGGCUCAACUUCCAGACGUCGACGGAAACCGUGUGGCUAGAGUCCGGAAGAGGAGAGUGGAAUUCCUGGUGUAGCGGUGAAAUGCGCAGAUAUCAGGAAGAACACCAAUGGCGAAGGCAGCUCUCUGGGACGGUACUGAUGCUGAGACGCGAAAGCGUGGGGAGCGAACAGG